rnacentral:rRNA from 1 species
CCUACGGGUGGCACCAGUGGGGAAUAUUGCACAAUGGGCGCAAGCCUGAUGCAGCCAUGCCGCGUGUAUGAAGAAGGCCUUCGGGUUGUAAAGUACUUUCAGCGGGGAGGAAGGUGUUGAGGUUAAUAACCUCAGCAAUUGACGUUACCCGCAGAAGAAGCACCGGCUAACUCCGUGCCAGCAGCCGCGGUAAUACGGAGGGUGCAAGCGUUAAUCGGAAUUACUGGGCGUAAAGCGCACGCAGGCGGUCUGUCAAGUCGGAUGUGAAAUCCCCGGGCUCAACCUGGGAACUGCAUUCGAAACUGGCAGGCUAGAGUCUUGUAGAGGGGGGUAGAAUUCCAGGUGUAGCGGUGAAAUGCGUAGAGAUCUGGAGGAAUACCGGUGGCGAAGGCGGCCCCCUGGACAAAGACUGACGCUCAGGUGCGAAAGCGUGGGGAGCAAACAGGAUUAGAUACCCGUGUAGUC